UACGAAGGGGGCGAGCGUUGUUCGGAAUCACUGGGCGUAAAGGGCGCGUAGGCGGCCCUUCUUGUCGCGUGUGAAAGCCCCGGGCUCAACCUGGGAACGGCGCGCGAGACGGGAGGGCUGGAGUUCGGGAGAGGAGCGUGGAAUUCCCAGUGUAGAGGUGAAAAUUCGUAGAUAUUGGGAAGAACACCGUGGCGAAGGCGGCGUCCUGGACCAACACUGACACUGAUGAGCGAAAGCCAGGGGAGCAAACGGG
rnacentral:rRNA from 1 species